GAUCCAGACUUUGAUCCUGGCUCAGGACGAACGCUGGCGGCGCGCCUAACACAUGCAAGUCGAACGGGGUUUACAGGCGGAAGUUUUCGGAUGGAAGCUUGUAGACUUAGUGGCGGACGGGUGAGUAACACGUGAGCAACCUGCCUAUCAGAGGGGGAUAACGAUUGGAAACGAUCGCUAAUACCGCAUGACAUAGCGGAACCGCAUGGUUUUGCUAUCAAAGAUUUAUCGCUGAUAGAUGGGCUCGCGUCCGAUUAGAUAGUUGGUGAGGUAACGGCUCACCAAGUCGACGAUCGGUAGCCGGACUGAGAGGUCGAACGGCCACAUUGGGACUGAGACACGGCCCAGACUCCUACGGGAGGCAGCAGUGGGGGAUAUUGCACAAUGGGGGAAACCCUGAUGCAGCGACGCCGCGUGAGGGAAGACGGUCCUCUGGAUUGUAAACCUCUGUCUUCGGGGACGAAACGAGACGGUACCCGAGGAGGAAGCCACGGCUAACUACGUGCCAGCAGCCGCGGUAAUACGUAGGUGGCAAGCGUUGUCCGGAAUUACUGGGUGUAAAGGGAGCGUAGGCGGGCAGGCAAGUCAGGCGUGAAAUAUAUCGGCUCAACCGGUAUCUGCGCUUGAAACUGCAGGUCUUGAGUGAAGUAGAGGUUGGCGGAAUUCCUAGUGUAGCGGUGAAAUGCGUAGAUAUUAGGAGGAACACCAGUGGCGAAGGCGGCCAACUGGGCUUUUACUGACGCUGAGGCUCGAAAGUGUGGGGAGCAAACAGGAUUAGAUACCCUGGUAGUCCACACCGUAAACGAUGAUUACUAGGUGUGGGGGGGACUGACCCCUUCCGUGCCGGAGUUAACACAAUAA
rnacentral:rRNA from 1 species